UAGGUUUUUCAUUAUUCUUUCGGUACAGCGCGAACGCAGUCCCGACCAACAAGAAUAUUACGCACAAUAGAUGUUCCCAUAUUAGGCGUACUCGCGAGGCCCAGCUCCACCGAAGUGCGAGGGAGAGACCUAGCUUGUAGGAUCUGCGGCCAGGCAAGUACAAUCUGCUCACAUUUUACAGCGAUCCCAUUGAUGGCAUGACCGACCUUGUCCACGGGAAAUUUAUCAUCCGAUUGGGAAAAAUAGUUCUAAAGGGUAGCAAGAUAGCACAUCGUCCAACGAAUCGGAAGAGUAUUGAUAACCCUACUGGAGUGUAUACUGCAAGAUAGCUGAUAACUUGGGCAAUUUAUUGGGUUUUGCAUGAAACUUCAUACUGUCAUGCUCAGGUUCAAAUUACACCAACUUUGCGAAAGAAACUUGGAAGAUUGCCUGUUUAAUAUUAGCAGAAUUUUCAUCGUGUUUUCAAACAGUUUGAAAACAAUGUAGAUGUGUGCGUAAAAUUUACGAUUAUAUUCAUACAUUUUCUGCUUGACGGUGAAAUGUUUGAAGAUCGUACUCGCCCAUUCUUUGUCGAAUGACAUUCCGUGGCGCGUAGCUGGCUUUUUUUACUUUCCAUUUGCCACGCAUCGAAUCAGUUGUCUCAGUUUUUGUUCGCUUUCUGAUCAUCGUUACAAAAUGUGGCGCUUGCGGAGGAAUCGAUCGCAAGCUUCUGGACACCGAAUGGGUAAAACGACCGUGAAUAUGGAAUAUUCAACCACGACGGUACGAGUGAUAUUCAAUUGCGGCGUAAUAGAAACGGACAUGUGACCUCGAUGCAAAACGAUGUAACGAAGAAUCACGGAACACGCGUUGCUCUAGAAGACGCAGAACACAAAAUGCAUGAGCCGUGAUAUCUUCGCUCAAGCUCGUGCAUGACGGUAUAUUCAUCUUUUUAUCCCAGUAGACUUUAGAACACCGGGAACGUUUGAGAUAUCGUCGACGGUGUACGUAGCGGUUGAAGAAGUCUGCAUCGGUCAUACGGCAAUCGGUAGAGCAAGGGUCACUGUUGAUACGCUGACGCGAAUCGAUGCAAAUUCUCGAAAUCUGAAUCAUGAUCAAUUGCUAUUCCGGUCGUAUUCCGGCGUGCACAGGCCAGCUGUACAUUCGAACCUGUCGAGUGAAUUGGAUCAACAAGCCGGUCAAGAAUCCGGAAUUUGCCGAUGUUGGCUGAUUCGAUAAAUUUAUUAUCGUCGUCUCCGGCGAUGAUUUUAGUUGCCGAACAACUGCGACUAGCCCAGCGUUUGUAUCGGAAAAAUGCGGGAAUGGACGAAAUAAGGGUGGGAAAAAAAUGAAUUCAAAGGAAUAACGAACCGAAUUUUGUUUGUAACAAAUAAAUGUAUUAUAAAAUUUAAUAAUAAGAUAUUACGCCAAUUUAGCAUACACAAAUAAUGGUAGGUAAAUAGGUAGGUACAUAUACAUAAAUGUUGACAGUAUACAAAACGUGUAUAAUUUAUUUAUAGGUUUAAUUGUAAGGUGCGUUGCUAUGUGAAUUUGUUCGGACAAAUCAUGUACGCGUAUCCACUUGUCCGUAGAGUUAAUCAUGGAAACACUUCACAUACCUACAAUGUUUCUCUUCUUUUCCCGUUCAAAUUACGUUAGAGAUUAUUGUUUGUAAUCGAAAUCUAAUUCAUUCAAACUUUGAAAUAUACUACACGUUUGUUAAAUCGCCGAUUCGAUGAGUUUUGUGUGACUUAUCGAUCAUCUCUGAUCUUACUACGGUUAAUUAAUUUACAAAUUGAUUCGAAUUCAUACGAAUUAUUAAUAUUUGGUCAUUAAAGUUAAUUGAUCUGGCAAGAUAAUUUUAUAAGAUACUCAGUUUCUGUGAGCAUCUCGACGAUACUUAGAUUAAUUUGUUAUGUCUCGGAAAUAGCUGAUUGGUCUAAUUACAUUUCGCGUUACACGUAUUAUUCAUUUUUAUUAAGUGUCACUUCAAUUUCACACUCACAGCCGUUGGCGGAUAGUAGCGUUGUCCGAAAUUUUUAUAUCAAAAAUUACAAAAUUUGGAUGGCAAAUGUUUUCUUCACUUCUACCUCAAUUCCAUUUAAUUUAUAUUUCAUUUUAAGGCCUCUGUUUCGCGCGUUACGCUACUUACUACAAAUUUUUCGAUGCUAGGUGUAGCGGGUACAUUUCCUUUCCGCGUAAUACUAAAUCCAAAAUUCGUUUUUGCGUCAUUGGUACGAAAUUUUUCAAAAUGUAAGACGUUUAUCGGAAUAUUUUCAGUUUUAUUACGUAUUAUAUGUCACUCUAGAAGUGUUUUGAUCUGUUUAUCGGUGAACCGAUCGAUUAUUGUUUUUCCACACGCUGCGUAACAGUGGUAUUUGAUAGUCAGAUACUUAAAAACGCUGACUAAGAAAUAGCAGAAUAGACAGUGUGAGAAGUCUGCGACAACAAACGCCAAGUAAAAGUGACGUCGAAAUAACAUUUCUUUUAUGCGAUCGAUGCACGCACACGUGCCUCUGCGUAUAAACAAAAGGCUAAUGAAUAACAAGAAGAGGAAAAUUAAUGAAAUAAAAUAUACCCUGAAUAGCGAAUGCGUUACGGAAGUUAUUGUCGAUAUAACUUCAGUGUCAAGAUAAAUAAAUUAUGUUAGUGUUUUUUUUUCUUUUUGUUCUUAUCUCUAUCUUUACAUAAG